CCUAUGGAGUGUACUAGAACUUGUGAGUAGCAAAUUACUUGUAAUUGCAAAAGCAUACACGAAGAAGUAGGAA
rnacentral:sRNA from 12 species